GGGGAAUAUUGCGCAAUGGACGAAAGCCUGACGCAGCGACGCCGCGUGAGGGAUGAAGGUUCUCGGAUCGUAAACCUCUGUCAGAAGGGAAGAAACCGCACCGUGCUAAUCAGCGGUGCAUUGACGGUACCUUCAAAGGAAGCACCGGCUAACUCCGUGCCAGCAGCCGCGGUAAUACGGAGGGUGCAAGCGUUAAUCGGAAUUACUGGGCGUAAAGCGCACGUAGGCUGCUUUGUAAGUCAGGGGUGAAAUCCCACGGCUCAACCGUGGAACUGCCUUUGAUACUGGGUGUCUUGAGUACGAGAGAGGUGAGUGGAAUUCCGAGUGUAGAGGUGAAAUUCGUAGAUAUUCGGAAGAACACCAGUGGCGAAGGCGGCUCACUGGCUCGUAACUGACGCUGAGGUGCGAAAGCGUGGGGAGCAAACA
rnacentral:rRNA from 1 species